ensembl:lncRNA LINC01122 long intergenic non-protein coding RNA 1122
AAUUAGCUAAACAAAGAAAUCAUGGCGGAUUGUUUACAUUUGGCAGCGCCCGGGCUGCGCCGACCGCCGGCCCCGAGCCGCCGCGGGCUCCGAGGAGUCGGCCGAGCUGCUCCCGCGCCCUGGCCGGACGUUUGAAACUAUUGCUUUGCUGAAAACAUCUGACUGCCAGGCUAGGAUGUGACACUUAAGGGACUUACCAAUUUGGGAUUCUUCCAGGAGCUGAAAACUGAUUGCAAAUAUGAAACAGAUUUCACUACAGGACUUGAACCCUACAUUAAAAAACAACAAGCUCCCCAAAAUAAUUGAAAAAGAUCUUCACCAAAGAGUAGCUGCAAUGUGAAUGGCAGGAUAUGAAGCAAGUAAGAGAUGGUGAAAAGAUUAUCUUAAGCUUGGAAUUAAGUGAUGAAAGGGACCUUCGAAAUUAUCAACUCUAAAUACUUCUUUACAGGAAAAUUGAAAGCAGUUAAGAACCUGCCCCCUACCGUGGAGUUCUUGGUGCCGUGAGUUGGAGUUCUUGGUGCCUGGGUGCGUCCCCAAGGCCACUGGUCUUCAGAUCUUUCUUACUUGAGAAGAACGCCUCCGCCUCCUGGCUCUCCCACCAGUGGUAUUGCCACCACCACACACCAGCAUAAAGCACAGAUUGCUGCCCAGCUCCUUGGAGAGGGGCCAGUGCAUUUGUCAGGAAUUGAAAAGUUUUGGAGCCAGUUCGAGGACUUUCUCCUGCACAAAGUGUUGGCUGGAAGCAUGAAGCAAUAACACAUGGUUUGCCAAAGAAUCUGCAUUGAAUAAUACUGGUGGUGACCACAAGAACAUGCCUCUCUGACUGCAAGGAACAAGAGUGACCCAGGGUUUCAGCUGCUGCCUUGGAAAUUCAUCACAGUGCAAGUCUAUGCUUCCCACGGGCUGCUCCCAGCCUGUGAAUAAGCCUGGCAUCUUUGUUGAGGCAGGCCUAUUUCUGGAGAUGCAGGAUCCUCCGAUGGGCGAAUUUGGCUCUAGGACUGCUUGAUGGCCUUGACAGACUUUCCUUAGAAAUGCAUGGCAAUUUAGGGUUCCUCCACCCUUCCCUCUUUCUCUCCUUCACCUAGGGUCGGACUUGCAUCAUGGCCUGAAAGCUCCACCAGCCUCUCCUGCCCUCCUCCUCAUUUUCUUUCACAGGCAUAUCCUCUAAUAAAUUUCUUGCACAUUGAAUCUCAUCUUGGCAUCUACUUAUUGGAGGAUCUGAAAAUUCACAUUUUUAACACAAUAAUAAAAUUCACAUUUUUUCAUCA